rnacentral:rRNA from 1 species
UUGGAGGGCAAGUCUGGUGCCAGCAGCCGCGGUAAUUCCAGCUCCAAUAGCGUAUAUUAAAGUUGUUGCAGUUAAAAAGCUCGUAGUUGAACCUUGGGCCUGGCUGGCCGGUCCGCCUCACCGCGUGUACUGGUCCGGCCGGGCCUUUCCUUCUGGGGAACCUCAUGCCCUUCACUGGGCGUGUUGGGGAACCAGGACUUUUACUUGAAAAAAUUAGAGUGUUCAAAGCAGGCCUUUGCUCGAAUACAUUAGCAUGGAAUAAUAGAAUAGGACGUGUGUU